AAGAAGAAGAAGACGAUAUAGCAUCAUUCUGUCCUGAGCUAAACCACGCCCUCGUUACGAUGGUUGCGCUUACGUAACGUCAACGUCUCAGGCGGGAGAAACUAGAAGCAUUGUACUUCGGUGGGGAAAGAGGCAAGCCGUGGAAGAGCAAUCUUAAUAAAGUAUGGUUUCAUAAGAAACACAUGCGUGAGUCAACUCUUGGUCCAAACUCCAAUCCAGACGGUGGCGGUAAUGUUCCAAAAGCUGGUUGCCAACCGCUAUGAUGAUCACAAGAAGAAAAAGAAGUUUGGCGUUUCAAAACAGUGGAUUCCGGUCAGAAAGACACACAUGAGGAAGCUCGACUCAGCUUGGCUUGCAGACAGAUGAGGACGAUGAUCGCCCGUCAUACACCUAAAGAAAGAACAGGGGCAUUAAAGACACAACUAUAGUGAACGUGAUGAAGAAAAAUUAUUUGGAACAAAGAGGCUGGAGAAAAAACUGAUUUGAAGAUUUCAGAAAUUGAUGCAGCACCGCAAGUACCAUCACCACCAAUGACUAUGGCAGGAUCCUUAAGAACACCAUCAAGAUACACAGAUGCUGUACAUUCCAGUACACCUAUGAACAUUUACAGUCCUUGUUCAAGUGCAGUCGGAGAUCAAGACAACUUAUUGCAACUCGUCAUGUCUUUCACGACUGAAAAAAAGUUAAAAUCAUGUGACGUCAUAAAGCAGCAACUGUGCCUGAUUCUCACAAAUCAGCAAAACCAAAACAGACGUGAUGAAAUUCCUGAUGUAAACACAUUUGACCUUUCUUUGUCCAAUUUGAUUUGUAAAAACUUGAAAAUCAACUAAACGAGCAGCCCGAACAAAUGAAGAAACUGGUAGCCUACUUUGGAUUGAUUGGUGUUUUCCACUAAGCAGUUUGGUGUGUCCCGGGAAAGCUUUUGGCUCACUUUUUGGCUGAACAAAUUAACUGGAGCAGGGCAAACCAAAAUGUGGCCUUUCAUGCACUCUCCCUUAGGACUGUCUAUUCAAUGUAGUGAGGAGAAAUGUCCAUACCACAUCACUGAUAAAGAAGUGGAAAAAUGCAUUACAAGGUGGCUACAACGUGCUCCUGACAGGGGUGGAGGAAG